rnacentral:rRNA from 1 species
AACGUACGCUGGCGGCACGCCUAACACAUGCAAGUCGAACGAAGUAGCAAUACUUAGUGGCAGACGGGUGAGUAACAUGUAGGUAUCUGCCCUUUGGCCUGGAAUAACACGAGGAAACUUGUGCUAAUACCGGAUAAGUCUUUACGGAGAAAGCUUUAUGCACCAUUGGAUGAGCCUGCACUUGAUUAGUUUGUUGGUGGGGUAAUGGCCUACCAAGACUGUGAUCAAUAGCUGAUUUGAGAGGAUGAUCAGCCACAUUGGGACUGAGACACGGCCCAAACUCCUACGGGAGGCAGCAGUGGGGAAUCUUGCACAAUGGAGGAAACUCUGAUGCAGCGAUGCCGCGUGAGUGAAGAAGGCCUUUGGGUUGUAAAGCUCUUUCGUCGGGGAAGAAAAUGACUGUACCCGAAUAAGAAGGUCCGGCUAACUUCGUGCCAGCAGCCGCGGUAAUACGAAGGGACCUAGCGUAGUUCGGAAUUACUGGGCUUAAAGAGUUCGUAGGUGGUUGAAAAAGUUAGUGGUGAAAUCCCAGAGCUUAACUCUGGAACUGCCAUUAAAACUUUUCAGCUAGAGUAUGAUAGAGGAAAGCAGAAUUUCUAGUGUAGAGGUGAAAUUCGUAGAUAUUAGAAAGAAUACCAAUUGCGAAGGCAGCUUUCUGGAUCAUUACUGACACUGAGGAACGAAAGCAUGGGUAGCGAAGAGGAUUAGAUACCCUCGUAGUCCAUGCCGUAAACGAUGUGUGUUAGACGUUGGAAAUUUAUUUUCAGUGUCGCAGGGAAACCGAUAAACACACCGCCUGGGGAGUACGACCGCAAGGUUAAAACUCAAAUGAAUUGACGGGGACCCGCACAAGUAGUGGAGCAUGUGGUUUAAUUCGAAGAUACGCGCAGAACCUUACCAACACUUGACAUGUUCGUCGCAACUCUAAGAGAUUAGAGUUUUCGGUUCGGCCGGACGAAACACAGGUGCUGCAUGGCUGUCGUCAGCUCGUGUCGUGAGAUGUUGGGUUAAGUCCCGCAACGAGCGCAACCCUCACUUUUAGUUGCCAUCAUUAAGUUGGGCACUCUGAAAGAACUGCCAGUGAUAAGCUGGAGGAAGGUGGGGAUGACGUCAAGUCCUCAUGGCCCUUACGUGUUGGGCUACACACGUGCUACAAUGGUAUCUACAACAGGAAGCAAGACUGCGAAGUUAAGCAAAUCCCUAAAAGAUACCUCAGUUCGGAUUGCACUCUGCAACUCGAGUGCAUGAAGCUGGAAUUACUAGUAAUCGUGGAUCAGCGUGCCACGGUGAAUGCGUUCCCGGGUCU